rnacentral:rRNA from 1 species
AGUUCAGAUUGCAGGCUGCAACUCGCCUGCAUGAAGUUGGAAUUGCUAGUAAUCGUAGGUCAGCAUACUACGGUGAAUACGUUCCCGGGCCUUGUACACACCGCCCGUCAAACCAUGAGAGUUGGCAACACCCGAAGUCGGUAGUCUAACCGCAAGGAGGACGCCGCCGAAGGUGGGGUUGAUGAUUAGGGUUAAGUCGUAACAAGGUAGC